UACAGAGGUUUCAAGCGUUGUUCGGAUUUAUUGGGCGUAAAGGGUGCGUAGGCGGCGCGGUAAGUCGGGUGUGAAAUCUUGGAGCUUAACUCCGAAACUGCAUUCGAUACUGCCGUGCUUGAGGACUGGAGAGGAGACUGGAAUUUACGGUGUAGCGGUGAAAUGCGUAGAUAUCGUAAGGAAGACCAGUGGCGAAGGCGGGUCUCUGGACAGUUCCUGACGCUGAGGCACGAAGGCCAGGGGAGCAAACGGG
rnacentral:rRNA from 1 species